AGUGGGGAAUUUUGGACAAUGGGCGCAAGCCUGAUCCAGCCAUGCCGCGUGCGGGAAGAAGGCCUUCGGGUUGUAAACCGCUUUUGUCAGGGAAGAAACGGUUUGGGCUAAUACCCCGAACUAAUGACGGUACCUGAAGAAUAAGCACCGGCUAACUACGUGCCAGCAGCCGCGGUAAUACGUAGGGUGCAAGCGUUAAUCGGAAUUACUGGGCGUAAAGCGUGCGCAGGCGGCUUUGCAAGACAGAUGUGAAAUCCCCGGGCUCAACCUGGGAACUGCAUUUGUGACUGCAAGGCUGGAGUGCGGCAGAGGGGGAUGGAAUUCCGCGUGUAGCAGUGAAAUGCGUAGAUAUGCGGAGGAACACCGAUGGCGAAGGCAAUCCCCUGGGCCUGCACUGACGCUCAUGCACGAAAGCGUGGGGAGCAAA
rnacentral:rRNA from 1 species